rnacentral:lncRNA from 1 species
UCAACCACAGUUUCUCCCUCCAUUCCUCUCAGGUUCUACCCAUCUCCUCUCAUCCCUGCCUCCACUCCUCACUCCAUCUCCCUUCAGAUAAGAACAGGCUUCCAAGAGACAAUGACCAAACACGACAAAACAAAAUACAGUAAGACAAGGCCAAAGCCCUCACCUCAAAGCUGAACAAGGCAACCCAAGAGGAGGAAAAGUCCCAGGAUCAGGUUACCUCACUUAGCAUGGAUGCCCAACCACAGAUUCUCAAAAUACAUACAAGCAAAAACUGGCAGAAGUGGAGGAGGGAAGACACCAAGAACCUGAGAGUGGCAUUUCUCUGUACAUUUUAGCUGUCGAGUUGGCGAUGCAGAAUUACCUGGUAAGAGAGUCUCCAUGAUGGAUUGUCUGGAUCAUUUUGGCUUCUGGGCAUGUCUGUGGGGACUGAUGUGAUCACAUUGAUUGAUG